rnacentral:lncRNA from 1 species
GGCGGCGCAGAGGUCGCUGCCCCGACGUGCUCAGGAGAGACAAGCCCUUGUGCCCAGAGUUGGAAAAGAAGUCCCAGCAUCCAAGGCCCGACCUUCCGAAGAGACGCUUGCAGUUCAGAGUCUUUUGGCUUCAGCCCUCCUUUGUCUGAAAGAUGUUUGUUGGAAGUACAGAACUCCCUACUUCUCCGCCAUCUUGCUGCUGACCAACAUCUUUUUUAUUGAAAAAGAAAAUCUCCAUUAAUGUUAAAGAAAAACAGGUGGGAGUCUUACCCCGUAUAAACCAGCCUGUUGUAAGGCUGAGGAAGGCACCACGGUUUGCGGAGGGUUUUCUCCAUAGUUUCUGCAUCUUGAAGCCAGACCUUCUCCUCUUCACAUACAGCGAGGCAUCUCAGCCUGGGGACCUGUCCUCCUCCAUCCUGAAGGCACACUGAGCUGCUCUGGCAUUUGGAGACACCAGCCUAUGGUCUCCCCCAGAGGGCGUUUCUGGGUAAACAAGAUCCCCUGUGACCCACCCUUGGGUAUCUGUGCCAGAGACAAAUCUCAUCCUAUGAACUCACCUCUACUGAGAGGGUAAACACAGGAAGAACCUCCUUCAGAGUCAAUUUUCUUUCUAAGCAUUUCAUAUGCAAGUGACCUAAGAUUAAUUUUGGCUUAAAGACACUAUAAACAUCUCUGGGGCACUGGGUUUCAGCAGUUGUUUUUGUUAUACAGUGGAUGGAGCCCUAAGAGUGAGCCAGUAGAGUGCUAGGUCAGCGCUCCUCCACGUGCACAGGUGUGCUGGCUUCACAACCUUAUAAUGUUGAAAAUGUCAUCCUGACCAGACAAUGAGAGGAGAUGUGUAAAAGCACUAGGUGAGCUGUAUACCUUGAAACAAAUAUGAGGCAAUACUACAAGCCCAUGUAGUGUGUGAUCAUUGGUCCU